rnacentral:rRNA from 1 species
AUGCAAGAUAGAUCCCAGUGGCAGCCGAUUGAUGACAAAUUGCUGAAGCUCCUGAAGCUCAUGCCUGGUUGGCAGCGUGGGCGCCUCACUCUGAUCAAUUCGGUGAUUCAUGCGCGACCUACACAUCAUCUUCGAAUACCUUAUGAUAUGCAAUUGAAACAAGUCUUUGCGAAUGGAAAAAAGGUUUGGUGGCCGCGGCCCCAAAGUGGGCUCUUGACCGUGUGGACAAGGAGGGCUGCAGGGCGUUUUUGUGGGCUGGUUCUGAUGACAUUCAUAGCGGGAACUGUCCCGAUGGCUUGGCGCAAAGUCCUCAGGCCAAGGUGUCUUGGUGGCUUGGGAGGAGUAAUUGACUUGAACUUGCAGAGUCUGGUAUUCCGACUGCGAUGGCCGAUGGGCUUGGUUGAUUGA